UUCUGGCUCAGGAUGAACGCUAGCGGCAGGCUUAACACAUGCAAGUCGAGGGGCAACGCGAGUAGCAAUACUUGGCGGCGACCGGCGCAAGGGUGCGUAACGCGUGAGCAACAUGCCCGUAUCAGGGGGGAUAAUCCAGGGAAACUUGGUCUAAUACCCCAUAGUAAUUUUGUAAGGCAUCUUAUAAGAUUUAAAGCUUUGGUGGAUACGGAUUGGCUCGCGUGACAUUAGCUGGAUGGUAAGGUAACGGCUUACCAUGGCUAUGAUGUCUAGGGGUUCUGAGAGGAAGGUCCCCCACACUGGAACUGAGACACGGUCCAGACUCCUACGGGAGGCAGCAGUGAGGAAUAUUGGACAAUGGAUGGAAAUCUGAUCCAGCCAUGCCGCGUGAAGGAAGAAGGUCCUAUGGAUUGUAAACUUCUUUUGUAUGGGAGCAAUAAGGCCUACGAGUAGGUUGAUGAGAGUACCAUACGAAUAAGCACCGGCUAACUCCGUGCCAGCCGCCGC
rnacentral:rRNA from 1 species